rnacentral:rRNA from 1 species
GACGAACGCUGGCGGCGUGCUUAACACAUGCAAGUCGAACGGAAAGGCCCUGCUUUUGUGGGGUGCUCGAGUGGCGAACGGGUGAGUAACACGUGAGUAACCUGCCCUUGACUUUGGGAUAACUUCAGGAAACUGGGGCUAAUACCGGAUAGGAGCUCCUGCUGCAUGGUGGGGGUUGGAAAGUUUCGGCGGUUGGGGAUGGACUCGCGGCUUAUCAGCUUGUUGGUGGGGUAGUGGCUUACCAAGGCUUUGACGGGUAGCCGGCCUGAGAGGGUGACCGGGGACAUGGGGACUGAGAUACGGACCAGACUGCUACGGGAGGCAGCAGUGGGGAAUAUUGCACAAUGGGCGGAAGCCAGAUGCAGCAACGCCGCGUGCGGGAUGACGGCCUUCGGGUUGUAAACCGCUGUCGCCUGUGACGAAGCGUGAGUGACGGUAAUGGGUAAAGAAGCACCGGCUAACUACGUG